rfam:Stegodyphus mimosarum contig65425, whole genome shotgun sequence.
GCCUUCGUGGUGUAGUGGUGAGCACGCUGGGAGUGUAUUCCAGAGGUCCGUGGUUCGAGUUCCGCCGAAGGCA